GAAGUAGUGGCUCCGUGGUAGAGUGCUUGCCUGGCAAGUGUGAGGCCCUGAGUUCAAUCCUCAGCACAGCA
rnacentral:tRNA from 1 species